CAAACAACCAACGGUGAGGAUGUUGUUAACAGCCAGGGAUGGUAAUUAGAUAAUUGAGUCGGCUUGAUCUUAAACGACGGCGAGGAGUUUAGGGUUCAUUGAUUGCUUCCUUCCAUGGAGACUCCUAAAAUCUCAAAGCUUGACGACAAGCGAAUCACCGAACCGAGGAUGAAGAAGAAGAAGAGAAUGAAACAUGAGUUUCUCACAUCUCUUAACAAUCUCGAUGAUGGUUGCCUCAUGCACAUCCUCAGCUUCCUCUCUCCAAUUCCUGAUAGGUAUAACACAGCACUCGUUUGCCACAGAUGGAGAUAUCUGGCCUGUCACCCUCGCUUGUGGCUACGAGUCGACCCUUUUGUGAAGGGUUUAUCACUCCCUGGAGUUUUCCAUGACAUUGAGUCUGCUGUAUCUGCUGCAAGACCUGGUGAUACCAUUUUAAUAGGUGCUGGUGGAAGUCAUCGCGUUUCUAAUAUUCAGAUUAAAAAGCCUAUUUGCCUGGCAACUAUCUAUUUUGAUGAGACGAUGGAGAUCUACUCCCUGUCGUAGCUCUUGGUAUGGGAGAUCGAUAUGCGCUGAAAAGAUCCAAAAGAGAACAAUCCCUCAUUUUAGGGAGCUAAUAGUUGCAUACAACUAUGUUCAGAGCUUCUCAAGUCGACGUUAAUACUAAUGAAUUGUUUAAAGAACUAAAAAACUUAGAGAAUUAAGUUAAAGUUGUUUGACCGUGGUGAAGAUUCAAUGAAAGGGAAUCAGUUUGGUUUCAAAGUCUGAGAAGAUUUUGGGGUUCUUUUGAGUCUUCCAUCCAUUUUCUUAAUGGAGUCCUCACCUGGUUCUUAGUAAUCCUCAUUUUCUCAUAUUGGGGGGCAACACAUGGGAAGCUGUAAUGAAAAGCAAUUCAAAUUAUAACAUGAUGUAGGAUGUAUAGAUGGAGUUGCAGAAUAUGGAUGGUAGUUAAUUUAAUCAGUAAUGUACUGAUGCACACACAUUAAAAUGCUUCAGCGGGUUAGAUGUAGGUUGCCUUGUCAGUUGACCUUUUUAGUUGCAGUUUAAGUGGAAGACACAAUGUCUUGGGGGCUGAAAUAGUAGUUAACCUUCUUUGCUGAGGAAUGGGUGGUAUGAUGCUAAGGCAUAAGUACCAGUGUGUAAUGAAUCGAUAGUGUUUCAGUUUCAUCUCAUCUUUGCUUUGUUCAGAUUGGUGGUGGCGAGAUUCCUGAUGAAACCACCCUUGUAUGUUCUAGAGGAUCAGACAGUGCCCUGGAGUUGCUAUCAACCUGCAAGCUAGCGAAUCUAACAGUAAAAGCCGAGCUUGGCUGCUGCUUGCUUCACAGGAGUGGAAGGAUA